rnacentral:rRNA from 1 species
AAUCUGCCCUCCACUUUGGGAUAACUCCGGGAAACCGGGGCUAAUACCGAAUAUUGAAACAUAAGUGGCAUCACUGAGUUUUGAAAGAAUUUCGGUGGAGGAUGACUUCGCGGCCUAUCAGCUUGUUGGUGAGGUAAUGGCUCACCAAGGCGACGACGGGUAGCCGGCCUGAGAGGGCGACCGGCCACACUGGGACUGAGACACGGCCCAGACUCCUACGGGAGGCAGCAGUGGGGAAUAUUGGGCAAUGGACGCAAGUCUGACCCAGCGACGCCGCGUGCGG